rnacentral:tRNA from 1 species
GCGCGGUUAGUAUAGCGGUUUAGUACUCUCGUUUCCCAAAUGAGUGACCCGGGUUCGACUCCCGGACUGCGCA